rnacentral:rRNA from 1 species
AGAAAGCCCGCAAGGGUGAGUAAAGUGGCGUACGGGUGAGUAACACGUGGGUAAUCUACCUCUGGGUGGGGAAUAACCCUGGGAAACCGGGGCUAAUACCGCAUGACACUGAAAGGUCAAAGGCGCAAGUCGCCUGGAGAGGAGCCCGCGGCUGAUUAGCUAGUUGGUGAGGUAAAGGCUCACCAAGGCUAUGAUCGGUAGCCGGCCUGAGAGGGCACACGGCCACACUGGCACUGAAACACGGGCCAGACUCCUACGGGAGGCAGCAGUGGGGAAUCUUGCACAAUGGGGGAAACCCUGAUGCAGCGACGCCGCGUGAGCGAUGAAGCCCUUCGGGGUGUAAAGCUCUUUCGGCAGGGACGAUAAUGACGGUACCUGAAGAAGAAGCUGCGGCUAACUACGUGCCAGCAGCCGCGGUAAUACGUAGGCAGCGAGCGUUGUUCGGAGUUACUGGGCGUAAAGAGUGCGUAGGCGGUUUUCUAAGUUUGGUGUGAAAUCUCCCGGCUUAACUGGGAGGGUGCGCCGAAGACUGGAAGGCUUGAGUAUGGGAGAGGUAAGCGGAAUUCCUGGUGUAGCGGUGAAAUGCGUAGAUAUCAGGAGGAACACCUGCGGUGUAGACGGCUUACUGGACCAUAACUGACGCUGAGGCACGAAAGCGUGGGUAGCAAACAGGAUUAGAUACCCUGGUAGUCCACGCCCUAAACGAUGCAUACUUUGGUGUGGGUAGUUCACUCUAUCCGUGCCGGAGCUAACGCGUUAAGUAUGCC